UGGGGAAUAUUGCACAAUGGGCGCAAGCCUGAUGCAGCCAUGCCGCGUGUAUGAAGAAGGCCUUCGGGUUGUAAAGUACUUUCAGCGGGGAGGAAGGGAGUAAAGUUAGUACCUUUGCUCAUUGACGUUACCCGCAGAAGAAGCACCGGCUAACUCCGUGCCAGCAGCCGCGGUAAUACGGAGGGUGCAAGCGUUAAUCGGAAUUACUGGGCGUAAAGCGCACGCAGGCGGUUUGUUAAGUCAGAUGUGAAAUCCCCGGGCUCAACCUGGGAACUGCAUCUGAUACUGGCAAGCUUGAGUCUCGUAGAGGGGGGUAGAAUUCCAGGUGUAGCGGUGAAAUGCGUAGAGAUCUGGAGGAAUACCGGUGGCGAAGGCGGCCCCCUGGACAAAGACUGACGCUCAGGUGCGAAAGCGUGGGGAGCAAACAGG
rnacentral:rRNA from 1 species